GGGGGGGGGGGGGGGGGGGGGGGGGGGGGGGGAGGCGAGGGGGGGGGGGGGGCGGUUGGGGGGUGCGGGAGGGGGGAGGGGGUGAGUGACAGGUGAGUAACGUGCCCGUGCCUUGGGGAUGACUUCAGGGAGCUGGUUCUAGUACGGGAUAGGGGCUCCUGCUGCAUGGUGUGGGUUGUAAAGUUUCGGCGGUUGGUGAUGGAGUCGCGGCUGAUCAGCUUGUUGGUGGGGUAGGGGCUUACCCAGGCUUUGACGGGUAGCCGGCCUGAGAGGGUGACCGGCCACACUGGGACUGAGAUACGGCCCAGACUCAUACGGGAGGCAGCAGUGGGGAAUAUGGCACAAUGGGCGGAAGCCUGAUGCAGCAACGCCGCGUGCGGGAUGACGGCCUUCGGGUUGUAAACCGCUUCCGCCUGUGACGAAGCGUGAGUGACGGUAAUGGGUAAAGAAGCACCGGCUAACUACGUG
rnacentral:rRNA from 1 species